AACGAACGCUGGCGGCAGGCCUAACACAUGCAAGUCGAGCGAGGACUUCGGUUCUAGCGGCGGACGGGUGAGUAACGCGUGGGAAUGUGCCCUUCUCUACGGAAUAGCCCUGGGAAACUGGGAGUAAUACCGUAUACGCCCUACUGGGGAAAGAUUUAUCGGAGAAGGAUCAGCCCGCGUUGGAUUAGGUAGUUGGUGGGGUAAUGGCCUACCAAGCCGUCGAUCCAUAGCUGGGUUGAGAGGAUGAUCAGCCACACUGGGACUGAGACACGGCCCAGACUCCUACGGGAGGCAGCAGUGGGGAAUCUUAGACAAUGGGGGCAACCCUGAUCUAGCCAUGCCGCGUGAGUGAUGAAGGCCUUAGGGUUGUAAAGCUCUUUCAGCUGGGAAGAUAAUGACGGUACCAGCAGAAGAAGCCCCGGCUAACUCCGUG
rnacentral:rRNA from 1 species